UACAGAGGGUGCGAGCGUUAAUCGGAAUUACUGGGCGUAAAGGGCGCGUAGGCGGUUUGAUGGGUGUGAUGUGAAAGCCCUGGGCUUAACCUAGGAAGCGCAUCGCAAACUAUGGAACUGGAGUAGAUGAGAGGGUGGCGGAAUUUCCGGUGUAGCGGUGAAAUGCGCAGAUAUCAGGAGGAACACCGGUGGCGAAGGCGGGUCUCUGGGCCGAUACUGACGCUGAGGAGCGAAAGCGUGGGGAGCGAACAGG
rnacentral:rRNA from 1 species